rnacentral:lncRNA from 1 species
CCGGGCCCGCGCCGCCGCCUCCGGGACGGACUCCGAGCACUUUACAUACAUGAGAGAAUUGGAAGCUAAAGCUACCAAAGAAGUCGAAAGAAAACUAAGCAGGGCUCUCCUGCCUCAUUUAUGUGGAACUGAGAGAAGGGAUUUAGUGCAAGAAGAGGAAGAACAGUUGAUGGAAGAAAGGAAAAAGAGAAAAGAAGACAAGAAGAAGAAGGAAGCUGCUCAAAAAAAGGUAUGUGGAGCACUGAAAAAUAAAACCCUGUGCUCAGGGGUGACUUGUUUCACCCCACUAGUAAAAACUGAUUUAGCUGUUGUUACUCACAGGUGUUUUCUUGUUAAUGUAGUGUUUUAGAUUCAAAUGUGCUGUCAGUUAUAUAGUGGUAACUGUCAUACUGAACAAUGUAAUUGGCUCUGUGUAGUUUCUUACAAGACUAAAUUUUUCUUCUGAGAUGACCCUUGUUUUUAAUGAUUGUCACUAGAGGCGGUUUUAAGUUUGAAACCUCUCACUGUAAAUGCAUUUAUUAGUAGAAUAAAAGUACCAUUUGAAGGUAGUGGCUUUCA